UAUCGUUGUUCAGUUGUGUUUUUUAGCAACAGUUUUAAUAUGUCUUGUAUUUUUUAUAAAUUCGGUGAGUUGUUAUCUUUGGCACUGGACGGUUGUUUGUUUAUACUUUCUGUUUCGCUGUUACCGUAAUGAGUAGAAUAUGUGCGCCCCGCUCAACAACGUGUCGUCUGGCUUGACUGCAGUCAGCAGUCCUCCGGAGCAGCGAGCUGCGUCUCCUUUAAAAAACAUUCUGCUCCUCUGGUGGAGAGAAGUUCGCUCCUCCAGCUUGUGGCGCACUUCACUUCACAAGUCUCUGUGUCUCCAGGAUCUCUGCUCCAUCUGACUGGUCCAGAGGAAGAAAUUGACUGAAGAUGUCUGGUGUGGAUGAAGAGGAGGACAGAUCAGGUGUGGACAGGUUGUCUCAGAAGAGUAACCAGUCCAAUGAACCUCCACUAAA